CUGGAGGUAUCAGAAGUGCGAAUGCUGACAUAAGUAACGAUAAAGCGGGUGAAAAGCCCGCUCGCCGGAAGACCAAGGGUUCCUGUCCAACGUUAAUCGGGGCAGGGUGAGUCGACCCCUAAGGCGAGGCCGAAAGGCGUAGUCGAUGGGAAACAGGUUAAUAUUCCUGUACUUGGUGUUACUGCGAAGGGGGGACGGAGAAGGCUAUGUUGGCCGGGCGACGGUUGUCCCGGUUUAAGCGUGUAGGCUGGUUUUCCAGGCAAAUCCGGAAAAUCAAGGCUGAGGCGUGAUGACGAGGCACUACGGUGCUGAAGCAACAAAUGCCCUGCUUCCAGGAAAAGCCUCUAAGCAUCAGGUAACAUCAAAUCGUACCCCAAACCGACACAGGUGGUCAGGUAGAGAAUACCAAGGCGCUUGAGAGAACUCGGGUGAAGGAACUAGGCAAAAUGGUGCCGUAACUUCGGGAGAAGGCACGCUGAUAUGUAGGUGAAGUCCCUCGCGGAUGG
rnacentral:rRNA from 1 species